CGCUGGCGGCGUGCCUAAUACAUGCAAGUCGAACGGUCUUUCUAUGGAAGCUUGCUUCCACUGAGAAGAUAGUGGCGAACGGGUGAGUAACACGUGGGUAACCUGCCCAUAAGAGGGGGAUAACAUCCGGAAACGGGUGCUAAUACCGCAUAGUUUUCUUGAUUGCAUGAUUGAGAAAGGAAAGACGGCCUUUGUGCUGUCGCUUAUGGAUGGACCCGCGGCGUAUUAGUUAGUUGGUGAGGUAACGGCUCACCAAGACGAUGAUACGUAGCCGACCUGAGAGGGUGAUCGGCCACAUUGGGACUGAGACACGGCCCAAACUCCUACGGGAGGCAGCAGUAGGGAAUCUUCCGCAAUGGACGAAAGUCUGACGGAGCAACGCCGCGUGAGUGAAGAAGGUUUUCGGGAAUCGUAAAACUCUGUUGUCAGAGAAGAACAAGUUGGAGAGUAACUGCUCCAGCCUUGACGGUAUCUGACCAGAAAGCCACGGCUAACUACGUGCCAGCAGCAGC
rnacentral:rRNA from 1 species